UACGGGGGGGGCAAGCGUUGUUCGGAAUUACUGGGCGUAAAGGGCUCGUAGGCGGCCAACUAAGUCAGACGUGAAAUCCCUCGGCUUAACCGGGGAACUGCGUCUGAUACUGGAUGGCUUGAGUUUGGGAGAGGGAUGCGGAAUUCCAGGUGUAGCGGUGAAAUGCGUAGAUAUCUGGAGGAACACCGGUGGCGAAAGCGGCUCCCUGGCCCGAUACUGACGCUCAUGUACGAAAGCGUGGGGAGCAAACAGG
rnacentral:rRNA from 1 species